rnacentral:rRNA from 1 species
UCUCAGAGAUGAGACUGUGCCUUCGGGAGCCGUGAGACAGGUGCUGCAUGGCUGUCGUCAGCUCGUGUUGUGAAAUGUUGGGUUAAGUCCCGCAACGAGCGCAACCCUUAUCCUUUGUUGCCAGCGAUUAGGUCGGGAACUCAAAGGAGACUGCCAGUGAUAAACUGGAGGAAGGUGGGGAUGACGUCAAGUCAUCAUGGCCCUUACGACCAGGGCUACACACGUGCUACAAUGGCGCAUACAAAGAGAAGCGACCUCGCGAGAGCAAGCGGACCUCAUAAAGUGCGUCGUAGUCCGGAUUGGAGUCUGCAACUCGACUCCAUGAAGUCGGAAUCGCUAGUAAUCGUGGAUCAGAAUGCCACGGUGAAUACGUUCCCGGGCCUUGUACACACCGCCCGUCACACCAUGGGAGUGGGUUGCAAAAGAAGUAGGUAGCUUAACCUUCGGGAGGGCGCUUACCACUUUGUGAUUCAUGACUGGGGUGAAGUCGUAACAAGGUAACCGUAGGGGAACCUGCGGUUGGA